UACGAACUGUGCGAACGUUAUUCGGAUUCACUGGGCUUAAAGGGUGCGUAGGUGGUUUUCUAAGUCAGGUGUGAAAGCCCUCGGCUCAACCGGGGAACUGCGCUUGAGACUGGAAGACUUGAGUGAGGUAGGGGUGUGCGGAACUUCUAGUGGAGCGGUGAAAUGUGUAGAUAUUAGAAGGAACGCCUGCAGCGAAAGCGGCACACUGGGCCUUUUCUGACACUGAGGCACGAAAGCCAGGGGAGCGAACGGG
rnacentral:rRNA from 1 species